AGAGUUUGAUCCUGGCUCAAGAUGAACGUUGGCGGUGUGCCUAAUACAUGCAAGUCGAACGGUGACUAUUUUGUAGCAAUACGAAUGAAAUCAUAGUGGCGAACGGGUGAGUAACGCGUUGGUGAUCUGCCUCGAAGUGUGGAAUAACUUCCCGAAAGGGUAGCUAAUACCGCAUACUCUCUCAAGGUUUAAAAAAUUGAGAGUAAAGGAUUUAUUCGCUUCGAGAGGAGCCUGCGUCCCAUCAGCUAGUUGGUAGGGUAAUAGCCUACCAAGGCAAUGACGGGUAGGGGACCUGAGAGGGUGGCCCCCCACAAUGGAACUGAAACACGGUCCAUACACCUACGGGUGGCAGCAGUAGGGAAUAUUAGAAAUGGGCGAAAGCCUGAUCUAGCAACACCGCGUGUGCGAUGAAGGCCUUCGGGUUGUAAAGCACUUUUUGGAGGGAAUAGGAAGGAAGGUACCUCCAGAAUAAGUCUCGGCUAACUACGUGCCAGCAGCCGCGGUAACACGUAGGAGGCAAACGUUAUCCGGAUUCACUGGGCGUAAAGCGCGUGUAGGUGGUUCUGUAAGUAGGGCGUGAAAGCUCCCGGCUCAACUGGGAGAGGCCGUACUAAACUGCAGAGCUAGAGGAUGGUAGAGGGAGGUGGAAUUCCAGGUGUAGUGGUGAAAUGCGCAGAUAUCUGGAGGAACACCAGUGGCGAAGGCGGCCUCCUGGACCAUUCCUGACACUCAGACGCGAAAGCUAGGGUAGCAAACGGAAGGAGAGACUCCGGUAGUCCUAGCCCUAAACGAGGCAGACUUGGGGGUGGGCGGGUUAAUUCACGGUCGGUGUCCAAGCUUACCGCGAUAAUUCUCCGCCUGAAGGAUUACGCCGCCAGGGUUAAACUCCAAAGGAAUGACGGGUUCCCCCCACAAGCAGCGGAGCGUGUGUUUUAAUUCGAUGCUCCGCGAAGACCCUACCCUGGGUUUGACAUAACAGUGGUAGAGAAGUGAAAACGGAUCGACCUUUCGGGGAGCUGUUACAGGUGUUGCAUGCCUGUCGUCAGCUCGUGUCGUGAGAUGUUCGGUUAAGUCCGCUAACGAGCGCAACCCGCGCUGUGUGUUGCAAGUGUCACACAGUACCGCCGGUAUUAAGUCGGAGGAAGGUGCGGAUGACGUCAAGUCAGCAUGACCUUUAUAUCCAGGGCUACACACACGCUACAAUGGUCAGAACAAUAGGUUGCCAAGCCGCAAGGCGGAGCCAAUCCUCCAAAUCUGGCCUCAGUUCAGAUUGCAGGCUGCAACUCGCCUGCAUGAAGUCGGAGUUGCUAGUAACCGCAGGUCAGCAUACUGCGGUGAAUACGUUCCCGGGGAUUGUACACACCGCCCGUCA
rnacentral:rRNA from 1 species